rnacentral:lncRNA from 1 species
GACGAGAUUCCUGCCCUACAGCAGCCCUUGCAGCUCUGCGGAUGAUCAGAUAGGCCUUGUGAUUCAAGGAAAUGGAGGAGAGAGCAAUGAGUGUCGAACUCCCACUUCCAAAGAACACAAGAUUCCUCCCGUUUUGAGCUGUCCGCCGGCGCCACGGAAACCCAGGAGGACGCCGUCGUGUAAAAGAAAGCUGUCGGAGUUGGAAUUCAUUAAGAUCGUGAAUCACGAAGAAGUCGACUCUUUCUUCCGAUCAAGUUUUGAUGCUCCUGCAAAAAGAAGAUGCCCUUGUAAAUGAAACGCCGGCAUUUCACAUAGAGAAUCAUGUUCUUUCUUUCUUUCUUUUUUCCAUAAUUGUUAUUCUUUUUUUAGUCUCUCAAAAUAUGCAAGCAAUUAUCAUAUUGAUGAUCACUUGUAAGGAUCAUCGCUGGUGAAAACAAUGUAUUUAUUACACGAUCAUGUGAGAUAUAUAUGGAACUUAUAAUUCCAGACUAUAUAUGGGUCUCAAUUAUUGUCUAUUAUAUAAAGAAUUUUCAUAUCCAAUGAAAAUGAAAAUGAAAUUGAAAUUGAAAUUUUACCCAUUCAUUGCUUGUACAUGUCCAAUCAAUUUCGAUGUGUUUUAAUUUGGUUGCAAUUUCUUUUGUUUGAUUUGGCUGAUAUUUUACCUUUAAUUUGUUGGGGUAGUUUCAGAUCAAAAUAUCCUGAAAAAGUACAGGAUUUGCUGAGGAAAGAGAGGAUAGGGUAGAUAAGGUUUGGUUGCUUGUUUUGUUUUAAAGAUUAAACAAAAAGACUGCUACUGUCCACAAGUUUCAUACAUCAUUAACAAUAAUUCUCUGUAAAUCUCAGCAGAC